CCAGGGGGCCGGGCAGUCGCGUCGCGUUUUCGCGCCGAGGAAAGUCCGGGCUCCACGGAACAAGGGUGGCGGGUAACGCCCGCCGGGCCACGGUCCUUCGGGACCCGAAGCUCAGGGACAGUGCCACAGAAAGCAAACCGCCGUUGGCGCCUCGCGCGUACAGGCAAGGGUGAAAGGGUGCGGCAAGAGCGCACCGCGCGGCCGGCAACGGUCGCGGCACGGCAAACCCCACCCGGAGCAAGACCGAAUAGGGGCAGCGUGCCGUCAAGGCGGGUCGGUUCCGGACCCAUGCUGCCCGGGUUGGUCGCUGGAGCGGCGGAGCAAUCCGUCGCCGAGAGGAAUGGCUGCCCUUGCAGCCCGCGUCUUCGGAUACGGGGCUGCAAGACAGAACCCGGCUUACAGGCUCCCUGGCACG
rnacentral:RNase_P_RNA from 1 species